UUUAAAAAAAGAUGAAAAAAUUUUUUUUAUAAAGCACCUAGAACUAUGCCCAGAAUAACCAUAGGCACUGAAUGAAUACAACCUCUGUGUUUAUGGAAGUGAAGAAUUUAUGCUAGCGAUGAUACGUAAGCUCUCUGUAUCAUAAAAGGUUGUAGUAAUUGCAUGAUUCCAAGUUAUUUGAUUAUUCUAAUCAAGUCACAAGAGGCAAAAUCAAGCCCUUUAAAUCAAAUAUUAUUCAGGGAAGGUCAACAUAUUAUACAAUUAUCAAACAAAACACUGUACCUCAAAUCGGUCCAAUAAAGAAUUAGCCAGUUACCAGAACAGCCCUUAAGGAAUGAAAGUGUGAUUGAUAGUGUGGCUUGACUGAAGCAGAGCACAAAUUCUGGGCAUCCCUGGGGGCUGGGAUGGUUCCAUAAUACAAGAACUACAAAAGUCUAUGAGUAAAUUCUAGCCAAAGCUGGGAAAGUACCUAAAGAUAGAGGAACUACAGGGUAGGGGAUAAAGGAGACAAAGUUCCACUAUUGCAUCAAAGCAAGCUAUAAGCCAUGUGAGUGCCACUUUAAUGCUAACUAAAGUUUACUCUUUGAAAAUUAAAAUGUGUGGUAUGUGUGAGAGUGCUCCAACAAGAAUAUUCAAUUAAGUAGAACAUACCAUUCCCUCGCCAUGUGAGAUAAGGUGGAGUUUACUGUUCUUACACUCACAAACUCCCACUUGAACAAGUCUGUACACAAGACACUUAGAAGUUCCCAGGAAACAAACAGACGCCUUGGGCUUCUGCAGGUGAAUUUAAUCAUUACCAUAUUAUUACAAUGAUGAAAGACAUGCUAAAUUUUGUAUUCCUUAAAGCCAACCACGGUUAUAGGAAAUUCCUGUCUCUUCUGUCAGUAAAACAUCUGCCAUAAGAUACUGAAGGGUUUGCUUUUGACAGACGCUUUUCCAACAAUUGUUUUUAUGCUUGAAGGUUGCCAUUUUAUUUAGCAAAACAGCCAGGAGGUCUUUGGAGCUUCCCAUCUCAUUAGUUAAACCGAUACUUCAUUACGUCAUUCAUAUCUAGAUUUUUAUCACAAAUGGAUACAUUGUUCUUCCAUCCAUCCAUGUUCAAAGAGUGAUCCUUAACUCCAUACUCUUCACAAUAUUAUAACUUUGGGGGAGACCGCCUAAAGGGAAGUUCUGAAGAUAUGUAGGGAUCAAGCACUCCUCCCAAGUCUACAAAGUUGUAUAUACCAGAGUGAAUGCUGAUAAGGUUAUUCAGAAAAAUGGAGCAUUGGGACCUUUACUGCCUCUGUUGGUGAAUAAAACACAUUUAAUAGUAAGUAGUUUGAAUAAUAAUCCACUCAGAAUUCCCAGAGAAAACAGGUUCCAUUUAUCACAACCAAAGGGCUCUAGAAUUGAUGACAAUUUAUUCACUUAUGUGCCUUCUCUGUGGCUGCACCAUAGUUCCAAGGGGGAAAACAAGUGGCUGUCGCUGUCACUUAAUUUGAAGCUAAAGUCUGUCUACCCUGCAAAAGUCAGCUCUAUUUUCAAAAAGAACUUGAUUUUCGGUCUGAAUAAUCCCUUUCUGAAGUGGGCAAUGAACAAGUAAUAGAUUAAUAAAUUAAACUGAAGACUGAAAAUAAGGCAUGGAAGUCACAGGACCCACUUCCUGAAAACAAGUGGAGGAGGUAACUUUCCACCUCUCCUGGCUGCAGAGCUUCACCCUGAAGACUUCCUAUUUCCUGAAUUCAGACCAGCAAUGAUUGCUUCAGAAACUUCUGCUCAUGAGAUGUUACCAUAUAUCUGACCAUGAAUGCAUCCUAUUAAAAACAUUGUGAAUAUUUAUAUAA